rnacentral:rRNA from 1 species
UACAGAGGGGGCAAGCGUUGUUCGGAAUUACUGGGCGUAAAGGGCGCGUAGGCGGCCUUCUAAGUCGAACGUGAAAUCCCCGGGCUCAACCCGGGAACUGCGUCCGAUACUGGAAGGCUUGAAUCCGGGAGAGGGAUGCGGAAUUCCAGGUGUAGCGGUGAAAUGCGUAGAUAUCUGGAGGAACACCAACGGCGAAGGCAGCACUCUGGGCCGGAACUGACGCUGAGGAGCGAAAGCGUGGGUAGCGAACAGG